rnacentral:rRNA from 1 species
GCAUAUCAAUAAGCGGAGGAAAAGAAACUAACAAGGAUUCCCCUAGUAACUGCGAGUGAAGCGGGAAAAGCUCAAAUUUAAAAUCUGGCGGUCUUUGGCCGUCCGAGUUGUAAUCUAGAGAAGUGUUACCCGCGUCGGACCGUGUACAAGUCUCCUGGAAUGGAGCGUCAUAGAGGGUGAGAAUCCCGUCUUUGACACGGACUACCGAGGCUUUGUGGUGCGCUCUCAAAGAGUCGAGUUGUUUGGGAAUGCAGCUCAAAAUGGGUGGUAAAUUCCAUCUAAAGCUAAAUAUUGGCGAGAGACCGAUAGCGAACAAGUACCGUGAGGGAAAGAUGAAAAGAACUUUGGAAAGAGAGUUAAACAGUACGUGAAAUUGCUGAAAGGGAAACGCUUGAAGUCAGUCGCGUUGGCCGGAAAUCAGCCUUGGUUCUCCUUGGUGUAUUUUCUGGUUGACGGGCCAGCAUCAGUUUUGACCGGUGGAAAAAGUUGGAGGGAAUGUGGCAUCUUCGGAUGUGUUAUAGCCCUCCUUCGUAUACAUCGGUUGGGACUGAGGAACUCAGCACGCCGCAAGGCCGGGGUUCGCCCACGUUCGUGCUUAGGAUGCUGGCAUAAUGGCUUUAAUCGACCCGUCUUGAAACACGGACCAAGGAGUCUAACAUGCCUGCGAGUGUUUGGGUGGAAAACCCGGACGCGUAAUGAAAGUGAAAGUCGGGAUCCCUGUCAUGGGGAGCACCGACGCCCGGACCUGACGUUCUCUGACGGUUCUGCGGUAGAGCAUGUAUGUUGGGACCCGAAAGAUGGUGAACUAUGCCUGAAUAGGGUGAAGCCAGAGGAAACUACUGGUGGAGGCUCGUAGCGAUUCUGACGUGCAAAUCGAUCGUCAAAUUUGGGUAUAGGGGGCGAAAGACUAAUCGAACCAUCUAGUAGCUGGUUCCUGCCGAA